CCCUCGAUACCUCCAUCUCCCCGAUGGACGGUACUGUAAAACUCUUGAACUAGGCCAGGAUAGGUGGGAAGGUCCAAGGUGAGGAAGUACUCUAGGCCCUGGGCUCUAAGCCUAUCGCCUAUGGUGAACCCCUCCCGGGAGAGAUAGUCGAAAUCGACAAACCUCCCGGAGGUGACGGCCUUCCCGGCCAACGCCCUAACGAGAACCACCCUAGGCGGGGACCGAUCCGAAGGUGGUUGCCUCGCGGGAUCGUGCCGCGCCUUGGAGCGUCGCUCGGGACCGGCCUCGGGACGGGACCUCUUCCUAACGACGGUCUUACGAGGCAUCUUGACUUAAACGGAAGAAAAAUACCUAGAGGACGGUGAAGAACCGACAGAGGAAUCUCGGGACGGACCGGAAAUGACCUAGGAACGGACGGAAACUCAAUGUCCGGCGAAGAAUCGACGGGAAAAGGGCUUGGAGACGAUCGGGGAUGACCUAGGAGUCGGCUCUAGGGCUUUGUGAACAGUGGCGGCUUGAGGAAAAGUGUUUGCGAAACGACAAACCUAGGGUUAAAAAGUC
rnacentral:lncRNA from 1 species